UCAGACUCCUCGGCGCUCUUGGCGCCCCCGCUCUCCAACCGCCGCAGGUGAAGGCCCCCGCCGCGGCCGCCGCGCUGAGAAGGCAGCGAGCCACUCCCGCCGCCUCCGACGCUCCCGCUGCAGCUGCCGCCGCCCCGCGCCGGAGAGCCGCUGUCGGAACCCGAAGCCCCGGAUUCCUCGUCCUCCGUGUCCUGGGAAGCGCGCUGCCGCCGCCGGUCCGCCAUCUUACGGAGAACGGCCACCGCUGGUCAGCUCCUUACGCACCACGCCCGUCGCGGAGGCUGCCGGGAAGCUCGAGACUCCGGAGUCCCGGCGUGCUUCACGUCCAGGGAGGGCCGCCCUUCUUUCCGCGGGGCGGGGCCUGCACCCUGCGGCACGUUUUCUGGAGAGCGAGAUGACGUCUGUCGGUGAUGGUGGUUUCCCUGCAACAGUUGAUGGCCAAGGAUAUCAAACCUUAAACUCAGAACAUGGCAGGUUCAUAGCCCUGGAGCAGCUUGUGCCUUUCCUUCUCGUUAUCCCUCUUCACCAGCUGCAUCCGCCUUUCCAUACGUUCAAUCCGAGCAAGGAGCUGGAGGGAAGUGACAAGGUACAGACUUAUACACCAAAGUUAAACACCGGUACUUAGCCCCAUUUAGGAAUCAGCGAUCUUCUGCAUGCCGCUAUGGUCACUACCAAUUCAACUUUUACUCUGAAUUGGCAGGCACGAAUCUGAAUAGCUUCCCUUAAACCCAAUAAAGGCAAAAGACAAUUAAUUGUAGGAGUUAGUCUGGAUGGCAAGAAGCUGGGGCAACCUGAAGUUCUUUCUUCUAAAGGAAGACCCUUCCCACUGGGCAGGAUCGGAGUACCUUUUAAUGGCAAGGCCUCUGCCACUUGGCUCCAAGUCUUUUGGGACCCCGUCAAUUUAACCUUGUUUCUGUCCGUCGUCGUUGUAUGUGGUGCUAGGGAUGGAAUCAGGGCCUCCUGACUGUGCGGCAAACACUCUAAGCACCAGCACCACCGAGCUACAUUCUCAGCCCUGUGUUCUUUUAAGGUAUCCUACGGUUGUCCAAAUUCUAUCUGCUCUAUGUUCACUCCAAAACUCUAGACACAGUGGAAUGUUUAAACAGCACAAUGCAGAAGAAUCAAGGGCUCACAGAGCGUCCCUAGGGAUAGCAGUACCACAUCAAAAUGUUAUGAUUGCAUAUUUGAGGGAGUAAUUCUAAAACAUACUACACUGAAAAGAAUUAUAAUCGACGCCAGUAAUAUAAUCCCAACACACAUGACAUAUAUAGAUUCUGCUUUGUGUUGGAGAUAACAGGAAAAUAUUAUCUAAAUAUUUAUCAAAAUUACAUUCUAAUUAAAGAGAACC
rnacentral:lncRNA from 1 species